rnacentral:rRNA from 1 species
CCUACGGGUGGCAGCAGUAGGGAAUAUUGCUCAAUGGGGGAAACCCUGAAGCAGCAACGCCGCGUGGAGGAUGAAGGUUUUAGGAUUGUAAACUCCUUUUGUUAGAGAAGAUUAUGACGGUAUCUAACGAAUAAGCACCGGCUAACUCCGUGCCAGCAGCCGCGGUAAUACGGAGGGUGCAAGCGUUACUCGGAAUCACUGGGCGUAAAGAGUGCGUAGGCGGGGUAAUAAGUCAGAUGUGAAAUCCUGUAGCUUAACUACAGAACUGCAUUUGAAACUGUUACUCUGGAGUGUGGGAGAGGUAGGUGGAAUUCUUGGUGUAGGGGUAAAAUCCGUAGAGAUCAAGAGGAACACCGGUGGCGAAGGCGGCCUGCUGGACUGCAACUGACGUUGAGGCCCGAAAGCGUGGGGAGCAAACAGGAUUAGAUACCCCAGUAGUC